rnacentral:rRNA from 1 species
GACGAACGCUGGCGGCGUGCCUAACACAUGCAAGUGGAGCGACGAACCAGGCUUCGGCCUGGGGCAAGGCCGCGAACGGGUGAGUAACACGUGGGUAACCUGCCCUGAUGAUUGGGACAACCCGAGGAAACUCGGGCUAAUACCGAAUGUGCCCUCCGGCCUCAAGGCCGCUGGGGAAAGGAGCUUCGGCCUCCGCAUCGGGAUGGGCCCGCGGCCCAUUAGCUUGUUGGUGAGGUAACGGCNCACCAAGGCGACGAUGGGUAGCUGGUCUGAGAGGACGAUCAGCCACACUGGGACUGAGACACGGCCCAGACUCCUACGGGAGGCAGCAGUGGGGAAUCUUGCGCAAUGCGCGAAAGCGUGACGCAGCAACGCCGCGUGGGGGAAGAAGGCCUGG